ensembl:lncRNA
GUGAUUUCUGUAGUCUGAGUCUAUUUUUAGCAUUAUCUUUGCCUAAGAGCAAAUUUGAGAGUAUGUAGAAGUGGCAAGGCACUGGUGAGGAGUGGGGUGUGGGGUGGCACACAGAUGGAGCAUGAACCAAGCAGGGAAAGUUGUGCACAGCAACGGCACUGACCCAGGAAUCUCUUGCUGAGCACAGAGAGGGCAUCUUGUCUGCAUGGGAGUUGUAUGUGGCUGCCGAGCAACCAAAGCAAGGAGAGGAAGGAGGUAAGGGGUUCCUGAAAUAGAUUUGAUUUUCACAAUUUGGUUUAAAUCUGACCCUUGUCCUCCUAGAAAGUAGAAGAUACGAUAAAGAUUUUGGCUUUGGGGACCAGCUCUCGGGAAGAAAGGACUGCAGGAUGGAGGAGGGUUUUGACUUGCCCUGGUGUGUGUGUGUAAACUGGGAUCCGGAGUUUGACAGCAGAGGAGAGACUUCUGGUGUGAAGAGCAGAGCGAUCCUGGCCUCGGCUUUGAAGGUUUGUUGUAAGACCGUAACACCUAACUCAGGGGUGGAAGUGGGUGCUCUGCCUUAGCCUUCCCAUGGUUACACCAAGAGGAUCUGGACGACCACUGCUCCUGAGAGGCCAAUGUUUCUACUUCGUGGCUUUAACCAGUGUGCUCUGGCUGCCAUCUGCACAGACCCGAGAGUCUUUUCUUCCACAGAGGUUUCACCUUCAACUGCCUACAGCAUUUGGUCUCUUCUGGAGGAAUUUAAGAGGUAUCUCUUAUUUUUAUAAUAAUAAUAUUAUUACAGGGAAUUCCCCUCACGGUGCAGUGGAAAUGAAUCUGACUAGGAACCAUGAGGUUACGGGUUUGAUCCCUGGCCUCGCUCAGUGGGUUAAGGAUCUGGCGUUGCCGUGAGCUGUGGUGUGGGUCACAGACGUGGCUCAGACCUGGCAUUGCUGGGACUCUGGUGUAGGUUGGAGGCUACAGCUCCAAUUAGACCCCUAGCCUGGGAACCUCCAUAUGCCAUGGAUGUGGCCCUGAAAAGACAAAAAGACAAAAUAAUAAUAAUAGUAAUAAUAAUAUUACACUAUAGUCACUUAUUCAAUGUAGAAGAAAAAGAGUAUUAUUAUACAUGAAAGCCUUUGGAAAUCAGCAACAGCAAGGCUCUGAAGAUCUGAACAGUAAGAAAUGACUCUUAGAAUCCUUUUUCUAACCCACCACUUAGUUGGAUCCCCAUGUACUUUAUUAGUCAACCAUUUGUAACAAUCUGUUCAACAUCUACCUUCCCCGUUAAACUCUAAGCUCUAUGAUGGCAGAGCUUUUAUCUGUCUUAUUCAUUACUGUAUUCCCAGGACCUAGCGGAAUACUAGGAACACAGUGGAUGAUCAGUAUAUGUUUGUUGAUCAAUG